rnacentral:snoRNA from 1 species
AUAGGAUGAGAUACCAGCUGGCACCAGUCUGAGAAGACUUGUACUCUUUGCAUGCGGAUCAGCUUCCCGGUCCACCAGACCACCUCUGAU